AUGAGGAAAUGGAGAAAAAAGAAAUUAAGUGACUUGCCCAAGGUCAUCCAUCUAAGAAAAAUUUGUGGAGGAAAGUGAAAAAUGGUAUACUUCAACCUGCAUUUAGACUUGAU
rnacentral:lncRNA from 1 species